CUCUAGCCCUGGGGGACCUUGUGUCUUUGAUUACCUCUGCAGGACUUAGGAAGACUAGGAGCUGGAAUUAAUCUCUACUGGAAUUUGCAAAACUCUAUUUAGGUCUAGAAUUUCCCAUGAUCACAAGUCUGGACAUUUUACUGUCUUCUAGAUUCAUUUCAGCACUCCCAGAGUAUUGGAGGAAACAAAAUUGUAAAUAAACUGAAGAACCACUGUGGUGACGCCAUGCACCUUUACAGACAAGGAGGAGAGUUAUUCAACUGCCACUGAACAACUCUGGCUGCAACACAGCUGCUAAGAGUUCUUUAUGUCGGCCGGGCGCGGUGGCUCACGCCUGUAAUCCCAG
rnacentral:lncRNA from 1 species